rnacentral:rRNA from 1 species
GAUGAACGCUAGCGACAGGCUUAACACAUGCAAGUCGAGGGGCAGCAGGGGAGUAGCAAUACUCCCGCUGGCGACCGGCGCACGGGUGAGUAACACGUAUGCAACCUGCCCUUGUCAGGGGGAUAAGCGGAAGAAAUUCCGUCUAAUACCGCAUAAUGCUGCGGGGAGACAUCUCCCUGCAGCCAAAGAUUUAUCGGACAAGGAUGGGCAUGCGGCGCAUUAGCUUGUUGGCGGGGUAACGGCCCACCAAGGCGACGAUGCGUAGGGGUUCUGAGAGGAAGGUCCCCCACACUGGUACUGAGACACGGACCAGACUCCUACGGGAGGCAGCAGUGAGGAAUAUUGGUCAAUGGCCGGGAGGCUGAACCAGCCAAGUCGCGUGAGGGAAGACGGUCCUAUGGAUUGUAAACCUCUUUUGUCAGGGAGCAAAAACUGCCACGUGUGGCAGGAUGAGAGUACCUGAAGAAAAAGCAUCGGCUAACUCCGUGCCAGCAGCCGCGGUAAUACGGAGGAUGCGAGCGUUAUCCGGAUUUAUUGGGUUUAAAGGGUGCGUAGGCGGACAGUUAAGUCAGCGGUAAAAUUGAGAGGCUCAACCUCUUCCCGCCGUUGAAACUGAUUGUCUUGAGUGGGCGAGAAGUAUGCGGAAUGCGUGGUGUAGCGGUGAAAUGCAUAGAUAUCACGCAGAACUCCGAUUGCGAAGGCAGCAUACCGGCGCCCAACUGACGCUGAAGCACGAAAGCGUGGGUAUCGAACAGGAUUAGAUACCCUGGUAGUCCACGCAGUAAACGAUGAAUACUAAUUGUUCGGGUCAAAUGAGAUCUGAGUGAUACAGCGAAAGCGUUAAGUAUUCCACCUGGGGAGUACGCCGGCAACGGUGAAACUCAAAGGAAUUGACGGGGGCCCGCACAAGCGGAGGAACAUGUGGUUUAAUUCGAUGAUACGCGAGGAACCUUACCCGGGCUCAAACGACACAGGAAUGAUCUGAGAAAUCAGGCAGUCCUCCGGGACCUGUGUCGAGGUGCUACAUGGUUGUCGUCAGCUCGUGCCGUGAGGUGUCGGCUUAAGUGCCAUAACGAGCGCAACCCCCAUCGACAGUUGCCAGCAGGUCAAGCUGGGCACUCUGUCGAGACUGCCGGCGCAAGCUGUGAGGAAGGCGGGGAUGACGUCAAAUCAGCACGGCCCUUACGUCCGGGGCGACACACGUGUUACAAUGGCAGGUACAGCGGGAAGCCACCUGGCGACAGGGAGCGGAACCCGAAAGCCUGUCUCAGUUCGGAUUGGAGUCUGCAACUCGACUCCAUGAAGCUGGAUUCGCUAGUAAUCGCGCAUCAGCCACGGCGCGGUGAAUACGUUCCCGGGCCU